rnacentral:rRNA from 1 species
UGGUAACCAUGGCGGACGGGUGAGUAACGCGUAAGGAACUUGCCUGCGGGACCGGGAUAACAGCAGGAAACUGCUGACAAUACCGGAUAAGGUCAUUAAGCCGCAUAGCUUGGUGAUGAAAGGAGACGCCUGCGGAGAGCCUUGCGUCCUAUUAGCUAGUUGGAGGGGUAACGGCCCACCAAGGCGAAGAUAGGUAGCCGGCCUGAGAGGGUGGACGGCCACAAGGGGACUGAGAUACGGCCCAG